AUAGUAAAAGGUUCUAUAGCCAUAUAAAUAAGAAGAAAACAAAGAAAGAAGAAGUGGGACCACUAAAGACUGAGGAUGGAGUGGAGGUUAAGGAUAAUCUAGGCAUGACCUAAUAUCUAAACCAAUACUAUGCCUCAGUCUUUAAUGAGGAGCUUAGGGAUAAUGGUAGAAGAUAGAAGUGAAACUUGAACAGCUUAAUGGGACCAAAAUGGGGAGCCCAGAUAAUCUUCAUCCAAGAAUAUUAAAGAAAUUGGCACAUGAAAUUGCAAGCCCAUUAACAAGAAUUUUUAAUGAAUCAGUAAACUCAGGGGUUCUACUGUAUGGCUGGAGAAUUGCUAACACAGUUCCUAUUUUUAUGAAAGGGGGAAAAAAAGUGAUCCGGGUGUUACAAAGUGGGACC